GAUGAAGAACGCAGCGAAAUGCGAUAAGUAAUGUGAAUUGCAGAAUUCAGUGAAUCAUCGAAUCUUUGAACGCAUCUUGCGCUCCUUGGUAUUCUGAGGAGCAUGCCUGUUUGAGUGUCAUUAAAUUCUCAACUACACUGACUUUGAAUUGGUAUGGCUUGGAUUUGGGGGGAAAAUUGUUGUGGGCUUUUUGUAUAGUCUGCUCCCCUGAAAUUGAUUAGCGGUACCUUUGUGGAACUGUCUACAGGUGUGAUAAUUAUCUACAUCUUAGACAUCUGCUGGAAUGCUGCUUUCUAAACCUUACUUGUAUUGACAAUCUUGACCUCAAAUCAGGUAGGACUACCCGCUGAACUUAAGCAUAUCAAUAAGCGGAGGA
rnacentral:misc_RNA from 1 species